rnacentral:lncRNA from 1 species
GGUAAGAGCUCUCUCCUAGGUAGAACUCACAGUGUGGAAGGCUUUUAACUCAGACUUGUCCAUUGUGAGCCCCCAGUGGCUGUCAAUCACAGGUGGGGCUUUCUUGCUCUAGUAUUGGUUCCUACAGGUUUCUCCUCAGCUCAGGUGUGAUGCUGUGUCUGUCUCCCCAAGGCAAUGGUUUGCACUGUGACCUCACUUCCUCACAGAUCUAAGCAGGGUUGCAGAUUUUUUUUUUUUUUUUACUUUGUUCAGUUUUUCCCUUGUUUUUCCAUACAGUGAUGUCUUUCAAGCUUCACAGACCACAACAGGAACCGAAGUGUUGUCUCUUUAUUUGUCCUGCUGAUUGUCAUUUUGUUAACAACGCUGUUUACCGGUGAUGAGUCCUUGGGCUUCCCCAAUGCUGAAGUAUAACACCAGAGAAGCACACUGAGGCAAGUUAGAGUGGAAAGUAGAAGCUUUAUUAAGGACAGCAGAAAAGACUUCUCCCGGAGGAAGAAGGGGACCCAAGAGGUGGAAUCCAUGGAAGGGGGGAGGUCUUCUCUCUUUUGUAGCUAAGGUCUUCUUUCAGCUUUCCCGCAUUUCUGUCCAUGUUCCUGUCCUUUGUUCUGUUAUCUUGCAGUGAUAGAAUAUAGGUGGGGAGACCCAAAAGGUGAGGGGCAGAUAGGCCAGAGGAGUAAUCUGGGCAGGAAGGGCCUGGGGCCGCUUCUGAUUAGCACCUGCCUGUUUGCUGCUUCAUUAACAUUUCUUUAGAAUGGGCUCUGGGCCUUGGGAACAUUAACAUUUCAAUUUCCCCAAGUGCUGCUCUGCUUUCCUGGGCUCCAUUCUCAACAGGGCCUUCAUUUUCGAUUUUACUUGAUAUUAGACCUGAUUUACCUAACUACACUAACUACCUAUCUUUAAACCUGGCUUCAAUUUCACUCAUUAAAGGAUGAGCUCUAUAAAAGAUAUUAAGUCUGUUGUGUACAACUAUUUCUCCAGUGCCUGGCACCUACUAGGGGUUCAAUGAAUAUGUUGAGGGAAUUGUCUAUCUUCUUUCAUUCACUGAAUUAACAUGAGAAGACAUAAUGCAACUUAUUAUAAUACAAUUCAAUAUAAAUGCUGUGUAUGUUUGAACUGUUGAUGAAAAUCAUCUGAUAAGCAAGUUAACUUGGUGAGACUGCUUUAGGGCAAUACAAUUUAUAGCAUAUCAUCGCACACAGAGAAAAAAAAAACAUUUGUACAAUAAUUGGCCAAAGUCUCACAUCUCAAGGGUGCAAGGCUUCUAGGCUCACAAGUCACCUGUGUGCCGCACUGUGAAACUGCUUUAAGGGUAAUGUUUAAUCUACCAAAGAGACCAAUCCAUUGGACUAGGUCUAUUUAAAUGGUUCCCAAGGAUGAAAGAAGAGCUGAGGCCAAGAAAGGGGUAAAGAGGUGCAGAGAGAAUCUCUAAAUGCCAUUGUCCCGUUGUCAUACAAAGCCUUCCCCAAUCUGGUCUCUGCCUACUUUCUGGUCUUAUUUGGCCACUCAUCCUCCAAAUCUUCAUAAACCUCCCCUUCUGCCCUACCUGCUCCCCAAUCCCCAACCUAAAACUUAAAUCUUACCAAUUCCUUUUUUUCCCCCCGCAAUACUGGGGAUUGAAUCACCAAACUACAUCCCCAGCCCUUUUUAAAAAUUUUUAAGUUUUGAGACAGCAUCUCACUAACUUGCCCAGGCUGGCUUCAAACUUGUGAUUUUCCUGCCUCAGGCUCCUGAGUCACUACUAUUACCCACCACACCCAGCCUCAGUUUUACAAGUUCUUUGUCCAUCUUUUCCAGGUGCAGCCCAGUAGCUGUGUUCCUGCCUUCCCCAGCAGAAUCCCCUCCCGGUGCUCCUGGGUCUUUAGCUUACAGCACUGUGUUUGCAUUUCUCCAGAAUUUUAAAGACUGAAGUAACGUCCUGAGAGACUGAGUUUAACCUUUAAUUUGCAGGUGAAACAUAUGAGGCCCCAAGAAGUAGAAGGGCUGUACUGGUCACAGGGCCAGUUGGGGGUGGUCUUGGGACACGGGUGUCUUGGCCUUCUGCUUUUUUGAUUACCUAAUUUGAUUUCUUUUGCUAAUAAUGACACAUUAUAAUUUAUAAUUUAUUGAUGGGUAAGAACAGCCUCAUUGGAAAGUCUAUAUGAUCUGUAGCAACAACCAGAUGGUCCUUAAUAAAACAUUAAUAAGGCAAAAGCAGAUGGCAUUUAAUAAAGUAUUAUAUAAACAUGUCUGAAAGCCAUCAAAAGCGGUGUUUUUCUGGACUUCUUGGUAAUGGAGAAUUAUCAGACAAGACAUAAAAGAGGAAAUCAGCCUCUAAAUUGUGAUGUAAGAAAAUGUUUUAGGUUUUUGAAGAUAUUUGAGAUAAUAAAAGAUUUUAAAUUAAAAAUUUCCCUAGAUUUCUUAGCCCUCUAAUGUGAAUGUUUUCUUGGUGACAAGGGAGAAAUAGAAUUCAGGAACUUUCAAGCAUACCCACUGGGCUUGUCUGGAUCCACUCCUAUCAGUCUGUUUCAUUACCUCUCCCAGGUGAAAUUGCUGGGUUCUUUUAAAGCUUUUUCAGCAAGUCACUCCUCUAGUAGUUGUACGCUUCAUAAGGACAGUGACCUGCCUUUAUUCAGGUAUACAAUAAGUACGCAACAAUGUUUGCAAAAUGCAAUGGAAAUCUAGGGAAUCAGAAACUAAUAAUAAUACCUACCAUUCAUCACGAAUUUACUGGGUGCCAGACAGCUAAUUCCAGCAGCCCUGUGAGUUGGAUGUUAGUGUUACUCCGUGUAAUAGGUGAGAAAACCAACGAUGGGAGGACAAAUAGGAGGCAGGAAUGGGACUCAAACUUAGCACUUGUGCCAAUUCCUAAAUCAUGAUACAGGUAAGUGUUAAUCAGAUACUGGCAGUGACAGUGGGGUUUGUUUGGUAUUUGGUGGCAUUGAUGUUUUUCUCAUUUAGUAUGAAGAGGCAGCAAGGGAAGAUGGAUUUAAGAAAGCAAACUUACCUGAAAUUGGAAAUUUCUGGGAGCCCAUUUCCUGUUGGCUGCCUGCAUUCCUCAGAGAACCAGCCUUGUGGUGAGAUGACAGGCACAGUUCUUUGGGAAAAAAAGAAAAAGAAGCUUGAAGAUUUCAAAAUAUAGUAUCUGGGAAAAAAAAUCUACUAGUGCCAAUAGUUUGGGGAAGAAUGAAACAUUUUAUAGUGUCAAAAGUGCCCAGGUGAAAGGAUUCAACCUCCAAAGUUAUUUUGUAUUUCAUUGUUCAGACUAAGAAAUGAAUUGACUUGGUGCGUUGGCAAUCAGUCAGAUGCCAAAAUACCUUUCUUCUUGCCAAAUUGCUUCCUCCAUUGCAAUUAGCCCCUUUAAGGACCUUACCAAAUAGCAAAUGUGUGUACAAUUCCCACUUUCCCCCUCCAAUUACAACUCAGCUAAGAAGUUUUAUUGGUAAUAAAUUGUUUUAGAUGAAACACUGCUCUUGCCAUCUCUCUCCAGUUUCUCCAAGUGUUCUUAGAUACCUUUAAAACAGGUGGAGGGUUAAAAAGGGCUCAAUUUUUUUCCACAUAUUUUUAUUGGUGCACUAUAGUUGUACGUAUUGAUGGGAUUUGCUGUUACAUAUUCGUGCAUGCACAUAAUAUCACAAUAUAAUUUGGCCAAUAUCACUCUCCAUCAGUUCUUUUUUUUUUAGAAAUAGAAUGUUUACACAAUCUGAAAAUAUAUUAUUUAAACUUAAUCAGUUUAACUAUCUGGGGCUGCCCUGUUCAAGAUUCUUCAUGAAAUCUCUGAUUGGAACAAUACCUAUUUAUCCUUUCAGAAGCAUUUUGUGGCUGAGUUUACUAUGGCUCUGGGAACCCAGUUUUUUUUUUCCCCUGAACCCAAAGACUACUUCUAUCCUUCCUUGUAGUCAGGAGGUACCAUAUGACUGACUUCUGGACAAAGGAAGGUACAUAAAAGUGCUGGCCGCGUGCAAGGAUACAAAUCCCCCAUAAGCUGGGCGUCUCCGGGUCUUUCCUCAUCUGCCUGCUGGAGAUACCUGUGCGAAGAACCCUGGCAGCCUGGAGUGAAAAAUGGUACAGCUUCCACCAGCUUGGUUCCCGAAAGAACAGAGACUGAUCUCCUGUACCCCUACCUCCCACAGCCUAGAACCAACUUUGAUUGUUUACUGAAUAAAACAAGAGUACUCUUUGAGUCAUAAUCUGGGUGUUUAUUUGUUUUCUCAGUCAGUUUACCCUAAUUUACUUUUCUUAAUUAACCACCUUUGGUCCUCUAUCAUGUUACAUGCCCCAACCCGUUAUUCCCGACACCUGGACAUUGUAUUUCUCACCCUUUAUCCUUAUGGUUUCUCUGUCUGCCUUUCCAGGUAGACUGCAAAGCUUUGUGGACACAGAGAGCCUGGACCACAUUUCCCUAGCUCAUUCUUAUGGUUCUCAGUAGUUAAUAUAAUGCUUGGCAUCGAAUACAACCAGAAUGUCACUCUAAAAUAUGUCUCUUUGGCAUAAUAAUUAUUUUUGAGUUUAAGGCAAUUAAGAACCAGCAAACAGGAAAAGUUCCUUACCUUCCAACUUUUCUGCAAAGAUAGGAUAUAAAUUCCCCUUUCCUAGAGACUCAUACAGAUCCUUAUCAGCCCAAAGAAGACUCCAGAAGAAUCUGCAAGUAAACCUUCCUCCACAUAUUUAGUUUCCUCUUAUGUACUUACCUUCCCACAGUGUCCCACCUUUGGAAGCUGAAAUUGCUUUCUUUGAUCCUGUUAUUUCUCUAUAAGUUCAUUGUUCUUUGUUAAAUAUGCUAUGUAAGCCAGAGUUCUAAGCCAUUACUUUGAGUUAUUUGCACUGAGUUCUCUCCUCUGCAAUGUGCUUUGUACACAUUAGUAAACUUCUUUUUCUCUUGUUAAUCUGCCUUUGUUGCAAGAUCCCCAAAAGAAUAAAGGUGUGGGGAGGUGAACUUUAGGCUUCCCUAUAGCACAUGGUAGAUCCUUAAGAAAUAUUUGUUGAAUUAACAAGAUGUUGAAUGCACGGACAAUAGUGAAGAAGAAGAAUAAUGGGUUGAAAAAAGCUUGCAUAGCUCUGUAUAUUUCUGUAAAUCUGAC